rnacentral:rRNA from 1 species
CGGCGGACGGGUGAGUAACACGUGGAUAACCUACCUAUAAGACUGGGAUAACUUCGGGAAACCGGAGUUAAUACCGGAUAACAUAUUGAACCGCAUGGUUCAAUAGUGAAAGACGGUUUUGCUGUCACUUAUAGAUGGAUCCGCGCCGCAUUAGCUAGUUGGUAAGGUAACGGCUUACCAAGGCGACGAUGCGUAGCCGACCUGAGAGGGUGAUCGGCCACACUGGAACUGAGACACGGUCCAG